rnacentral:rRNA from 1 species
CAGCAGCCGCGGGAAUACGAAGGGGGCUAGCGUUGCUCGGAAUGACUGGGCGUAAAGGGCGCGUAGGCGGCGAUCAAAGUCAGGCGUGAAAUUCCUGGGCUCAACCUGGGGGCUGCGCUUGAUACUUGGUUGCUUGAGUGGGGAAGAGGGUCGUGGAAUUCCCAGUGUAGAGGUGAAAUUCGUAGAUAUUGGGAAGGACACCGGUGGCGAAGGCGGCGACCUGGUCCUUGACUGACGCUGAGGCGCGAAAGCGUGGGGAGCAAACAGGAUUAGAUACCCCUGUAGUCCCUGUCUCUUAUAC